rnacentral:lncRNA from 1 species
GCUCUUAGCUGCUUCCCAGAGUGGGAUAAUGGAUGAUAUUUAUGGCAGUGAGUCACCCACGGCUUCAUCUCUCUGGACUCAAAGGCAGAGAGUGAAACAUGAAAGCCACCGCUAGAGGGGAGCUGUUAAAUUUCAAGUGGUUGCCAGAGCACAACUGGACAUCAAGGAGCAACAGAAAAGGAGUAUGGGAUGAACUUCUGGUCAAGAUGAUUAUAUACCCUGACUAUCAUACAUACAGUACAGCAAUUUAAUGUAUGGAGAACUGAAGACUCUAGGGAACAGGGACUUUUGCCUAUUGUCAAUAGGCAUGGAUUACAAUUGGACCUCUGAGAAUAAUAGGUUCCAUGUGUCAGUCAAUCUAUGAUCUUGAGUGCAACCAAGGAUUGGCGACUUCUCUUGUGCUUCUUUCAUGGAGAUGAAUCCAUAAACCGGUAAGUUUGUCUUAUACUCCAAAGGAUGUAAGCCACAGCCAAUCUUAAGGCCCAGGCACAUUUAGAGAAACACUCCAGUGAGCACAUUCAUUGUCCAAGUCAAGUUGCUGUUUCUCACAGAG